rnacentral:rRNA from 1 species
CGUGCUUAACACAUGCAAGUCGUGCGGUAAGGCCCUUUCGGGGGUACACGAGCGGCGAACGGGUGAGUAACACGUGGGUGAUCUGCCCUGCACUCUGGGAUAAGCCUGGGAAACUGGGUCUAAUACCGGAUAUGAGCUCCUGUCGCAUGGCGGGGGUUGGAGAGGUUUACUGGUGCAGGAUGGGCCCGCGGCCUAUCAGCUUGUUGGUGGGGUAAUGGCCUACCAAGGCGACGACGGGUAGCCGGCCUGAGAGGGCGACCGGCCACACUGGGACUGAGACACGGCCCAGACUCCUACGGGAGGCAGCAGUGGGGAAUAUUGCACAAUGGGCGAAAGCCUGAUGCAGCGACGCCGCGUGAGGGAUGACGGCCUUCGGGUUGUAAACCUCUUUCAGCAGGGACGAAGCGCAAGUGACGGUACCUGCAGAAGAAGCACCGGCCAACUACGUGCCAGCAGCCGCGGUAAUACGUAGGGUGCGAGCGUUGUCCGGAAUUACUGGGCGUAAAGAGCUCGUAGGCGGUUUGUCGCGUCGUCCGUGAAAACUUGGGGCUCAACCCCAAGCUUGCGGGCGAUACGGGCAGACUUGAGUACUGCAGGGGAG